rnacentral:rRNA from 1 species
AACGAACGCUGGCGGCGCGUUUUAAGCAUGCAAGUCGAACGGCAGUGGGGGUAGCAAUACCUCUGCGAGAGUGGCGAACGGGUGAGUAACACGUAGGUGAUCUGCCCUUGGAUGGGGGAUAGCCCGUGGAAACACGGGGUAAUACCGCAUGAGGCCCUGGUGGGGAAGCGAUGGGGGGAAAGUAGCAAUUGGACCGUCUGGGGAUGAGCCUGCGGCGCAUUACCUAGUUGGUGAGGUAACGGCCCACCAAGGCGACGAUGCGUAGCCGACCUGAGGGGGUGAUCGGCCACAUUGGAACUGAGACACGGUCCAGACUCCUACGGGAGGCAGCAGUGGGGAAUAUUGCACAAUGGGGGAAACCCUGAUGCAGCAACGCCGCGUGAGUGAUGAAGGCCUUCGGGUCGUAAAGCUCUUUGAUCAGGGACGAUAAUGACGGUACCUGAAAAACAAGCCACGGCUAACUACGUGCCAGCAGCCGCCGCUGUAA